rnacentral:rRNA from 1 species
CGUAACACGUAAAGAACCUAUCCUAUUGUGGGGGAUAGCCUCUGGAAACGGGGGGUAAUACCGCAUAAGGCACUUAAGGCGCAUGCUUUGGGUGAGAAAGGUAGAGCAAUCUAUCGCAAGAGGAGGGCUUUGCGGCCUAUCAGGUAGUUGGUGGGGUAGAAGCCUACCAAGCCAAAGACGGGUAGCUGGUCUGAGAGGAUGAUCAGCCACACUGGGACUGAGACACGGCCCAG